UACGAAGGGGACUAGCGUUGUUCGGAUUUACUGGGCGUAAAGCGCGCGUAGGCGGAUCGCUAAGUCAGGGGUGAAAUCCCAGGGCUCAACCCUGGAACUGCCUUUGAUACUGACGGUCCGGAGAUCGGGAGAGGUUGGUGGAAUUCCGAGUGUAGAGGUGAAAUUCGUAGAUAUUCGGAGGAACACCAGAAGCGAAGGCGGCCAACUGGCCCGAUACUGACGCUGAGGCGCGAAAGCGUGGGGAGCAAACAGG
rnacentral:rRNA from 1 species